AAUGAUUGUGGUGUAUGAAACUUUAAUUCAUAGUUUUGGUUUUAUGAGUUGAUUUAAAGAUUCUUUUGGCAUUAUUAUUGAGAUCAUUGUUAAAAUCUAAUAUUGUAUGAGGAAUUUGAUUUUGAGAGGCUUGCAUGAUUAUCAUGGAAGGUUUUUGAUUGGAAUUGUCCAAUUGAUUGAUAAGAGAAUCAAGACUUAAUUCAUAUUUAUGUUAUAAUAGCUAUCUUAUAUAAUGGUUACAAAUAUGGCAAUUAGCUCAAGGGUUAAUCAAGAUGGAUGUGCUCA
rnacentral:lncRNA from 1 species